UAAUGAGGGGAACUCAGGGAACUGAAACAUCUAAGUACCUGAAGGAAGAGAAAGAAAUUCGAUUCCGUAAGUAGCGGCGAGCGAACGCGGAUUAGCCCAAACCAAUAAAGUUUUCUUUAUUGGGGUUGCGGACAUAUCAUAACGAAGAGGUAUCGUAAUUGAAGAGGUUUGGAAAGACCCACCACAGAAGGUAAUAGUCCUGUAUGUUAAACGAGAAGACUUUAGAUAUGAUCCAGAGUACCACGG
rnacentral:rRNA from 1 species